UGGUUGACUGACAAUGCUAGAUGCCACACAAUUCAAACUCAAUGCAGUUGAUAUAAAAGUCUGGGUUUGUAGAGCAAUCAGCAUCAUUUCAAAUUGAACAAAGCUAAGGAUGAAAGUUGUGUUGUUUUUGAGCGUUGCCGCCACUUACUUGGUUUUGUGCCACUCUCAGGCUCUCUUGAAGCAAGGAGCAAUAUGCUCCAGCUCCUCCGAGUGCCAGAGCCCACUGGUUUGCAAUCCCUGGAAAAAUGGUCCGGAUCGGUGUCAACCCCCCCUGUGCAUCAAGUCUGGUGAACGCUGCGGAUUUUUCAAAGGACGUUGUUGCACAUGCGAUGGCGUUUACUGCUACAAGCCAUCCCCAUUAGAUAAAACCAAGUGUACACCUUUAAGCGAAAUCCCGAUAGCUGACCGAGCAGAGGCCAUCAUGUUCAAUGUUUGAAACUGAAUGCAAUGCAUAAGGCAGAAAUAAAAUACGACUGAAGCAUCAAA